rnacentral:rRNA from 1 species
AUUGAACGCUGGCGGCAUGCCUUACACAUGCAAGUCGAACGGCAGCGGACCUUCGGGUGCCGGCGAGUGGCGAACGGGUGAGUAAUAUAUCGGAACGUGCCUUUCAGUGGGGGAUAACGUAGCGAAAGUUACGCUAAUACCGCAUAUUCUCUGAGGAGGAAAGCAGGGGACCUUCGGGCCUUGCGCUGAUAGAGCGGCCGAUAUCAGAUUAGCUAGUUGGUGGGGUAAAGGCCUACCAAGGCGACGAUCUGUAGCGGGUCUGAGAGGAUGAUCCGCCACACUGGGACUGAGACACGGCCCAGACUCCUACGGGAGGCAGCAGUGGGGAAUUUUGGACAAUGGGCGAAAGCCUGAUCCAGCCAUGCCGCGUGAGUGAAGAAGGCCUUCGGGUUGUAAAGCUCUUUCGGCCGGGAAGAAAUCGCACAGGCUAAUACCUUGUGUGGAUGACGGUACCGGAAUAAGAAGCACCGGCUAACUACGUGCCAGCCGCCGCGGUAAUAC